GAUGAACGCUGGCGGCGUGCCUAAUACAUGCAAGUCGAGCGAACAGAUGAGGAGCUUGCUCCUCUGACGUUAGCGGCGGACGGGUGAGUAACACGUGGAUAACCUACCUAUAAGACUGGGAUAACUUCGGGAAACCGGAGCUAAUACCGGAUAAUAUAUUGAACCGCAUGGUUCAAUAGUGAAAGACGGUUUUGCUGUAACUUAUAGAUGGAUCCGCGCCGCAUUAGCUAGUUGGUAAGGUAACGGCUUACCAAGGCAACGAUGCGUAGCCGACCUGAGAGGGUGGUCGGCCACACUGGAACUGAGACACGGUCCAGACUCCUACGGGAGGCAGCAGUAGGGAAUCUUCCGCAAUGGGCGAAAGCCUGACGGAGCAACGCCGCGUGAGUGAUGAAGGUCUUCGGAUCGUAAAACUCUGUUAUUAGGGAAGAACAAAUGUGUAAGUAACUAUGCACGUCUUGACGGUACCUAAUCAGAAAGCCACGGCUAACUACGUG
rnacentral:rRNA from 1 species